ensembl:lncRNA
GAGGUUCCCAGGCUAGGGGUCUAAUCGGAGCUGUAGCUGCCACAGCACACAGCAAUGCCACAUCUGAGCCACGUCUGCAACCUACACCACAGCUCAUGGUCACACUGGAUCCUCAACCCACUGAGGGAGGCCAGGGAUCAAACCCGCAACCUCAUGGUUCCUGGUCAGAUUUGUUUCUUCUGUGCCACGACAGAAACUCUGUAUGGCAUCUUUCUAAUUGUCUGUUAUAGGCUGGAGCCCAUAUGAGGGUUUAUUAGAAACCUGUAACAAGUUAGAGCCCUUUGAGUGCUAAAAUGUAUGUGAGUGUGGGGGAGCUUUUUGAAAGCCAUUCCUACCUAAAUCAAGCCCUUCUCAUUUGUAUCUAAUUUCAGGACUGAAUGUUGGUUAAGUUACUAGAAGUCUGGCAUCUGAGUUAGUGGGGUAUUGCUAUGCUUAAAGAGCUCUCAAAUAUCCCAGGCAUCACACACACUGCAUCUCUUACAAUGACUAGUGGAUGGGUUUGGGGAACAGCUCGGGGACCAGGUAAGUUGUUCUUUUGUCCACGUGACGAACAUCAUCACUUGCCUCGCAUGAUGUAUUAUUUGCAGGAGAGACACAUCGGGAACUUCUCUUUCAGAAGCACGAGCAUGUUCUGGAUGGUUUUGGAGAGAAGAGCAAUCUUCCCUACACAUGAUUGCUUAGAUGAGCCUCCAAACGCUGGCAUGUUCUGAAGAAGGAAGCGGAGAGGCGCGGGCGUUGCAGAGGGAGCCUCGAGCUGAGCUGGGCUGGGAGUCAUUAAAGGAGGCGGCUGUCCCCGGGGCCCCAGACGGCAUCUCAUCAAGAUGCCCUGGAACUCGCCCAGCUUUGCUUCAGAUGUUCCAAGCUCAUUUUGUUCCGGUUAAUGUAACCUGUAAGAAUGUGACAAACAGCAGUUGGAAGGAUGUUCCUAUUUCAUUCCAUACGUCAUUGAACCAGAAUCAUUGGUGAGUGCUAUUGGCAGCUUUUUUCCCUCAAUAAAACAUUACAUGGGCACCUGUGUACA